GACGAACGCUGGCGGCGUGCUUAACACAUGCAAGUCGAACGGAAAGGCCCUGCUUUUGUGGGGUGCUCGAGUGGCGAACGGGUGAGUAACACGUGAGUAACCUGCCCUUGACUUUGGGAUAACUUCAGGAAACUGGGGCUAAUACCGGAUAGGAGCUCCUGCUUCAUGGUGGGGGUUGGAAAGUUUCGGCGGUUGGGGGUGGACUCGCGGCUUAUCAGCUUGUUGGUGGGGUAGUGGCUUACCAAGGCUUUGACGGGUAGCCGGCCUGAGAGGGUGACCGGACACGUUGGGACUGGGCUGCGGCACAGACCCCUACGGGAGGCAAGAGUGGAGAAUAGUGUACAGUGGGCUGAAGCCUGAUGUAGCACCGCAGUGUGCGGGAUGACGGCCUUCGGUUUGUAAACCGCUUUCGCCUUUGACGAAGCGUUAGUGACGGUAAUGGGUAAAGAAGCACCGGCUAACUACGUG
rnacentral:rRNA from 1 species